GAUGAACGCUGGCGGCGUGCCUAAUACAUGCAAGUCGAGCGAACAGACGAGGAGCUUGCUCCUCUGACGUUAGCGGCGGACGGGUGAGUAACACGUGGAUAACCUACCUAUAAGACUGGGAUAACUUCGGGAAACCGGAGCUAAUACCGGAUAAUAUAUUGAACCGCAUGGUUCAAUAGUGAAAGACGGUUUUGCUGUCACCUAUAGAUGGAUCCGCGCCGCAUUAGCUAGUUGGUAAGGUAACGGCUUACCAAGGCAACGAUGCGUAGCCGACCUGAGAGGGUGAUCGGCCACACUGGAACUGAGACACGGUCCUGACUCCUACGGGAGGCAGCAGUAGGGAAUCUUCCGCAAUGGGCGAAAGCCUGACGGAGCAACGCCGCGUGAGUGAUGAAGGUCUUCGGAUCGUAAAACUCUGUUAUUAGGGAAGAACAAAUGUGUAAGUAACUAUGCACGUCUUGACGGUACCUAAUCAGAAAGCCACGGCUAACUACGUG
rnacentral:rRNA from 1 species